UAAAGAAUGCAGGUACUUGUGGGAAAGUGGAUUCUUCGGUUACAUGGCACCAAUUCCCAAGUAAAAAAGUAACAAGAAUGGUGGCUGCAAGCAUGUGCACUAUCGGAAUUCGAGGAUGUAAAAAGAAGGCUGUGUUCUCGUCGUUUUAACCGUUAUGAGUGCAUCGAUUUGGAUGCACGCAAGCACGAUGGGGGUCACUUAACACCUAAAAGAUUUCCAACUCUACAAUGUUACUUUCAUUUUAAAAUCAGUAAAUGUCUUUAAUUUAA